ACUCCUGUUUCUAGCGGCGGACGGGUGAGUAACGCGUGAGCAACCUGCCUUUAUCAGGGGGAUAACGCAUCGAAAGAUGUGCUAAUACCGCGUAAGACCACAGCCUCACAUGGGGCAGGGGUCAAAGGAGCAAUCCGGAUAAAGAUGGGCUCGCGUCCGAUUAGCUAGUUGGUGAGAUAACAGCCCACCAAGGCGACGAUCGGUAGCCGACCUGAGAGGGUGAUCGGCCACAUUGGAACUGAGAGACGGUCCAGACUCCUACGGGAGGCAGCAGUGGGGAAUAUUGGGCAAUGGGCGAAAGCCUGACCCAGCAACGCCGCGUGAGGGAAGAAGGGUUUCGGCUCGUAAACCUCUGUCCUAUGGGACGAAGGAAGUGACGGUACCAUAGGAGGAAGCCCCGGCUAACUACGUGCCAGCAGCCGCGGUAAUACGUAGGGGGCGAGCGUUGUCCGGAAUGAUUGGGCGUAAAGGGCGCGUAGGCGGCCUGCUAAGUCUGAAGUGAAAGUCCUGCUUUCAAGGUGGGAAGUGCUUUGGAUACUGGUGGGCUGGAGUGCAGGAGAGGAAAGCGGAAUUACCGGUGUAGCGGUGAAAUGCGUAGAGAUCGGUAGGAACACCAGUGGCGAAGGCGGCUUUCUGGACUGAAACUGACGCUGAGGCGCGAAAGCGUGGGGAGCAAACAGGAUUAGAUACCCUGGUAGUCCACGCGGUAAACGAUGAA
rnacentral:rRNA from 1 species